UCAUUUCGGAGCUAACCUAGGUGAAAUGGAUCAUUUUUAAGCUAAGUUAAGUGAAAUGGAUCGUUUAUGAGCUAACCUAGGUGAAAUAGAUCGUUUAUGAGCUAACUUUGGUAAAAUGCAUCAUUUUAGAGCUAACCUAGGGUGAUAGGUCAUUUUGGAGCUAAACUAGGUAAAAUGGAUCGUUUGUGAGCUAACCUAGGUGAAAUGGAUCGUUUAUGAGCUAAUCUAGGUAAAAUGGGUCAUUUUAGAGCUAACUUGGGUAAAAUGCAUCAUUUUGGAGCUAACAUAGGUAAGAUGGGUCAUUUUGGAGCUAACAUAGGUAAAAUGGGUCAUUUUAGAGCUAACAUAGGUAAAAUGGAUCAUUUUGGAGUUAUUCUAGGUAAAAUGGAUCAUAGCAAGCUAGAAGAAUACUAGAGCUAACAGAGGUAAAAUGGAUCAUUUUGGAGUUAGUCUAGGUAAAAUGGAUCAUAGCAAGCUAGAGGAAUACUAGAGGAGAAUGAAAGAAAAAACAAGCACUCCAUCAUAGCAAGCUAGCUUCCGUGAAGUGAAUGAAAUCUGCAAAAAGGCAAAUAAGAAAGUUAGAAAAAGGUGACUAGAAGAAGAAGUAUAUGCCAUUUAUGAGCUAACUUAGGUGAAAUGGAUCAUUUAUGAGCUAACUUAGUUGAAAUGGAUCGUUUAUGAGAUAACUGUUGGAAAUAUGCCCUAGAGGCAAUAAUAAAAUGGUUAUUGUAUUUCCUUGUUCAUGAUGAUUGGCUAUUGUUCAUGCUACAAUUGUAUUAACUAGAAACCGUAAUACAUGUGUGAAAACAUAGACCACAACAUGUCCCUAGUAAGCCUCUAGUUGACUAGCUCGUUGAUCAAUAGAUGGUUAUGGUUUCCUGACCAUGGACAUUGGAUGUCAUUGAUAACGGGAUCACAUCAUUGGGAGAAUGAUGUGAUGGACAAGACCCAAUCCUAAGCAUAGCACAAGAUCGUGUAGUUCGUUUGCUAGAGAUUUUCUAAUGUCAAGUAUCAUUUCCUUAGACCAUGAGAUUGUGCAACUCCCAGAUACCGUAGGAAUGCUUUGGGUGUAUCAAACGUCACAACGUAACUGGGUGGCUAUAAAGGUGCACUACAGGUAUCUCCGAAAGUGUCUGUUGGGUUGGCACGAAUCGAGACUGGGAUUUGUCACUUCGUAUGACGGAGAGGUAUCUCUGGGCCCACUCGGUAAUGCAUCAUCAUAAUGAGCUCAAUGUGACUAAUGAUUUAGCCACGGGAUCAUGCGUUACUGUUGAGGAUAUAGACCUUAGAGUCACCCGCCAGGAGGGGCCGGGUUACUCGUAUGGUCAUUGCCAGAAGCCUGGAGCCAAGCUUGAAGACGAUGGGCCAGAGAUGGGCUAAGACCCGGAUAUGGCUUGAAGCCCGUAAUUACAAUCAUUGUUAUGAUAGAACUUGUAGUGUAAGGCAAGAAUAGUUGAGAGUCCGAGCCGGACAUUCUUAUGAGCCGGCCGGGACUCUGAGAGCUGCAGGGCGUCGGCCUCCUUAUAUAAAGGGACGACCCAACAACGGUUUAGGGGCAACAACAAUCUCAUCGAGAGCCGGGCAUAGCUGUUUAACUCCCUGGUGAUCGUAACCCUAAUCAAUACCACCUCAAACUGGACGUAGGCUUUUACCUUCACCGUAAGGGGCCGAACCAGUAUAAACCCUCGUGUUCCUUGUCCCGCAUUAACCCCUUCAAGCUUCCUAGUUGCGAUGGCUCCACGAUUAAGUCCUAGCUCGAGGACAUCUGCCAUGACAAUUCCACGACAGUUGGUGCCCACCGUGGGGCCAGCGCACGGUGGAUUUGAGUUCUUGAAGGGCAGCUUCGAAGGGCUCAAGGGAUACGCUGUGGGCCGGAUGACCAAGAGUCGUCGCGGCAAGCUCUACAUCGACGAUGCAAACUGGGGCCCCGACGCCGGCUCAAUUUAGUACGGGUACCGGGUCCCCUUCGGCGGAAUUCAUGUUUUCAUUGGCAAGAUUGGUGAGCCGGGCCCUGAGCCGGGUCUCUGCGCUGAUCUCAUCGAGACGGCUCAGCUUGCGCGACCCGCCCAGGCCCGGCCUGCCUUAAGGCAUGCUUUUGUGGGGUGCAUCCAUGGAGGACUCUCCGAUCAAUCUGGAUCUGGUGAUGAGACGGCCGCCGGCUCUGACGGCGAGCCGGCCACCGAUGAGUCAAACUCGUUGUACCAACUUCAAGAUGGCAGGCUCAUGGGUUGUUCCGAUGGUGACAGUAUUCCGGACCUUUUUGAGCCACCAAGUCAGGUUGGAGUUUUUAUGGCUGGUGCGCAGCCUGUUUAGAACCCCGCUGCUGGAGCGGGAAACCCGGUGCCUUCUCCGACUCAGGUGCUAAUGGAUCUCACGGACAAGAUGUCGGCCCUGUUAACUGCCACGGUUGACCCGGCGGAUCAAGCUCAGCAUGAUGCGGAGGUGGCACAGUUAAAAUUGGAUCUGAUAAAAGCUAAAGAGGAUCUUGCAGCGGAAGGGAUCAGGCUGGCUGCGGAGCGGGCGGCUCUCGAUGCCCAGACUCAGCUGAUUCAGGCGCAGUCCUUCCAACUCACGAUGGAUCAGAACGCGGCCAAUGAGGUCAUGAGAAGGAGGCAUCAAAAGGCCCAAUCUCGACUCCCACCGGUUUACGAUCCACGCAACCUCUUCAACAUGCCAGGUGCAGGGUCUAGUAACCCGCCAGGGGUCAUAGCGCCUGGGUCUGGACCCCUUAUUCAGCCACGAGUGAUGGGGCCUCCCCAGGUGCCCCCUGCCCCACCUCAGUAUGUGCCAAUACCCCCGGGUCAUUAUAAUAACCCGCUGGAGAACAUGGUCGCUGCGGCAGCACGGCUGGCGGCUCUCCCAGUUGACGGCGACUCUCCGACGGCUAUUGAAACCCGCCGGGUCAGGGAACCCCUGCAGACGGCACUGGCACAGCAGGAGGCGUACUCCUACAGCCGGGAUAGGAUCCACUCGACCCCUCGUCCGGGACAGAGCCCGAGUUACAGCCGGCACAUGGUCUCAGCAACCGGCUCAAGUAACGUCCGACGCCAUGACCCGCCCCCUGGCCAUGGUCCGGCUCAUAAUGGAGCCUUUUAUGCAGCAGAGCAGGACAAAGCGCGGCAAGAGGCGGAGCAAGUGCCUCAAUUGACGGCUUACCAGACCCCCCCGGCUUAUCCGACGACUUCCGUUGAUGUGGGUAUCCCUACCAGGACCGGGGGUGUCCCUUGUUUGGUGCCAGCUAUCCGUAAUGAACGUCUACCUAAGGACUUCAAGGGCCCUAGGAAGGUGCCUAACUACACAGCUGACUUACAGCCUACAGCCUGGAUCAAGAGUUAUGAGAUGGCCAUGGAGCUACUGGAGGUCAGUGAGGUAGCCAUGGCUAAGUACUUCACCAUGAUGUUGGAUGGGACUGCCCGCACUUGGUUGAAAGGGCUACCACCGAACUCCAUCGGAUCUUGGGCUGAGCUGAAAGCCCGGUUCAUCCAAAACUUCAAGGAUACCUGUAGGCAGUCUAUGUCAAUUGUGGAUUUGACUAACUGUAAGCAGCAGGAGGGUGAAUCCACGACUCAUUGGGUUCGCCGGGUCAAGGAGAUCAUACAUUCAUCAGAUAAGAUGGAUGCCGGCUCUGCAGUCUUAAUGUUGGAACAGAAUUGUCGCUUCGUGCCCCUGAAGAUGAAACUCGGGCGGCUUAAGCGCGACUGCAGUGACAUGGGCACGCUAAUGGCGGCUCUUGUCAAGUACGCCGAUUCUGAUGGUACCAAGGAUCCCCCUUCAGAUGAUGAAAGGGCAGGGAAGGGAAAGAAGAAUUGCAAUGGCAAGGGUCCCCAGCAUAACCCGGGGAACCAAGGAGGAGGCAAGCGCAAGGCCGAUGGCAGCCUAGAGUUUGUAGCCAACGCCAGCUCACAAGGUAAUAACCAGCGACGCAAGGGGAGACCCCCUCCCCGCGGCGGCGGGUCAGGUCCGACGCUGGAGCAGCUGUUGAAUGAACCUUGUCCAAGGCAUGGCUCUAGAGAGAAGCCAGCGACUCAUCUAUGGAAGGAUUGUGCAAUCAUGAAAGCCUUUAAAAACUACAAUGGCCCAGGCGGCGGCUCAGGCGCCAGCGGUUUUCAUGGCCCGGGGGGCGGCUCAAAUUCUGGUCCUCAGAGUGGUCAAGGGGGCUUUAAUCAACAGUCUGGCCAGGGUCAUCAACAGCAGCAGGGGGGUUAUCAGACCAAUCCAAAGCAGCUUAGCGGUGGACAGUAUCAUGUGUUUACCACUAGUUUGUGCAAGCGAGAUCAGAAGCUUCACAAGAGGGCUGUGAAUGCGGUUGAGCCGGCGGUCCCACGCUACUUGCGGUGGUCUGAGCAGCCUAUAGUGUGGAGUAGGGAGGAUCACCCUCCCCGGGUGGAUAACCCGGGCCACUUGGCCUUAGUGGUGGCUCCUCAAGUGGGAGGAUAUAAGUUCACAAAGGUGCUCAUGGAUGGAGGCAGCAGCAUCAACAUCCUCUAUUAUGAGACCUUUCGCCGUAUGGGGUUGGUUGAUAAGAACCUCAGCCAGUCAAACACCAUCUUCCAUGGUGUAGUACCUGGCAAGUCGGCUUAUCCAGUUGGCAAGAUCGAAUUGGAAGUGGCCUUUGGUGAUGAGAACAACUACAGGGUGGAGAAAUUGACCUUUGAGGUGGUCAAGAUAAGAAGUCCAUACCAUGCUAUAUUUGGACGGCCGGCUUACGCCAAGUUCAUGGCACGGCCUGUUAUGUGUACUUGCAGCUCAAAAUGCCGGGUCACAAUGGGACUAUUACGGUUCACGGCAGCCGGAAAGUGGCUCUGGAGUGUGAGGAAGGUGACGCAGCUUAUGCAGAAUCUGUGUGUGCUACAGAGGAGUUGAAGUUUUACAAAGACAAUGUUGACCCAACAGAUAUGACCUCUCUGAAAAAGCCAACCACAGAACAAGAGCCGGCAAUGAAAUUUAAGUCAGCUGAUGAGACUAAACUUGUUGAUUUUGUUCCAGGUGACUCAUCUCAGCAGUUUAGCAUCAGUGCAAAUCUGGAUCCAAAAUAGGAAGGCGCGCUCAUCGAGUUCAUCCGUGAGAAUAGGGACAUCUUCGCGUGGAAACCUUCUGACAUGCCAGGUGUACCUAGAGAACUCCCUGAGCAUACUCUCAAUGUUGAUCCGAAAUUUAAGCCGGUCAGACAGUUCCUUCGGCGGUUUAAUGAGGAAAGGCGGAAAGCUAUUGGUGAAGAAGUAGCCCGGCUCUUGGCGGCCGGGUUUAUCGUUGAAGUUUUUCACCCAGAGUGGUUGGCUAACCCGGUGCUCGUACUCAAGAAGAACGGCACCUGGCGGAUGUGUGUGGACUACACGGACUUGAACAAGGCGUGUCCGGCUAAUCCUUUUGCCCUCCCCCGUAUUGAUCAAAUCAUUGAUGCUACGGCAGGUUGUGCACAUUUAAGUUUCUUGGAUGCUUAUUCUGGUUAUCAUCAGAUCAAGAUGGCAGUCAAGGACCAGGAGAAGACGGCGUUCAUCACUCCCUUUGGAGCCUUCUGCUAUGUGUCUAUGCCCUUUGGACUCAAGUGUGCACAGGCGACUUACCAGCGUUGUGUGCAGAACUGUCUUCAUAAACAGAUCGGACGCAAUGUUCACGCUUACGUGGACAAUAUUGUGGUUAAAUCCAUCAAAGAGGAAACCCUGAUAGAUGAUUUAAGGGAAACCUUUGAUAAUCUCCGGGUCUAUAAGAUGAUGCUUAACCCGGCCAAGUGUGUCUUUGGUGUUCCUGCAGGCAAACUCUUGGGCUUCUUGGUUUCUGACAGAGGCAUUGAGGCUAACCCGGAGAAGAUCAAGGCCAUCACCUCCCUGGGUAAGCCGGCGUGUAUAAAUGACGUUCAGCGCUUGGCGGGUCGCAUCGCUGCGUUAAGCCGGUUUAUAAGCCGUUUGGGUGAGAAGGCCAUGCCCUUAUAUCAGUUGAUGAAGAAAACUGAUAACUUUGUCUGGAAUGAUGCAGCUAAUACCGCCUUUGAGGAUUUGAAGAAGCAGCUGGCAGAGCCCCCAGUCCUUGCUGCUCCGAUUGAUAAGGAGCCCUUACUACUGUAUGUGGCGGCAAACACAUGAGCCGUCAGUGUGGCUAUUGUGGUGGAGCACAAGGAGGAGGGUAAGGAGCAUCCGGUUCAGCGGCCGGUUUAUUAUGUCAGCGAAGUGCUCAUUGAGUCCAAGCAGCGGUACCCGCAUUGGCAGAAGCUGGUAUAUGGUGUGUUCAUGGCAAGCCGGAAACUUAAGCAUUAUUUUCAGGGUCAUCCCAUCACUGUGGUCAGCUCUGCCCCCCUUGGCGAUAUCAUUCAAAACAGAGAGGCCACAGGGAGAAUUGCUAAGUGGGCUAUAGAACUUGGACCUCAUAGUCUCAAAUAUGUGCCACGCACUGCUGUUAAAUCUCAGGCCUUGGUGGAUUUCAUCAAUGAUUGGACAGAGUCACAAGUACCCGAGCAAAAGCCGGAUAACACAUAUUGGACCAUUCACUUUGAUGGGUCCAGGCAGUUGGAGGGCUCGGGGGCUGGCGUUGUAUUGGCUUCCCCUAAGGGUGACAAGUUCCAUUAUGUGCUACAGUUGAUGUUCCCUUGCACUAACAAUGCGGCUGAGUACGAGGCCUUGCUCCACGGUCUUCGGAUGGCUAAGGAGAUGAGCUUGAGCCGGGUAAGGUGCUUUGGUGACUCAGACUUGGUGGCUCAACAAGUAUCAGGCAAGUGGGAUUCUAAGGAUCCUCUCAUGGCGGCUUAUCGCCGCGAGGUUGAUGCCAUUGCUGGGCACUUUCAGGGCUACCAAGUGGAGCAUAUUGAUCGCAGGAAGAACGAGGCGGCUGAUCCUCUAAGCCGGCUGGGCUCUCAGCGAAAGCCGGUGCCGCCUAACACUUUCCUGGACGUCCUGUAUAACCCUUCAGUUAAGUUGCCUACAGAGGAAGACUUGGCUAUCCCUGACCCGGAGGCACGACUGGUGGCGGCUCUUCAUGUCAUACCAGACUGGACAAUGCCAUAUCUGGCUUAUAUAACCCGGGGAGAGUUGCCUGAGGAUGAAACUUUGGCCAGGCAAAUAACCCGACGGGCUAAGUCAAUGAUCGUUAUCGAUGGCGAGUUGCAUCAUCGCAGUGUUACAGGGGCGUUUCAGCGUUGUGUCUCCCCUGAGGAAGGUCAAGAGAUCUUGCGUGAGAUCCAUGAAGGGGAUUGUGGCCAUCAUGCCGGCUCAAAAUCCCUUGUGGCUAAGGCUUUCCGUCAUGGUUUUUAUUGGUUGACGGCUCAUGCUGAUGCAGAGGACUUGGUCAGUAAAUGUGAUGGUUGCCAAAGGUUCUCACGACGGGCUCACGUGCCGGCUCAGGAGUUGAGGAUGAUCCCAAUCACUUGGCCCUUUGCGGUCUGGGGGCUUGAUAUGGUUGGGCCUUUUAAAAGGUCCAAGGAUAAGAAGACCCACCUCUUGGUGGCAGUUGAUAAAUUCACAAAGUGGGUGGAAGCUGAGCCAGUUAGCAAGUGCGAUGCAGCCACGGCGGUUCAAUUUAUGAAAAAGGUGAUUUUCCGCUUUGGCUUUCCGCACAGCAUUAUAACUGACAAUGGCACCAAUCUUUCCAAAGGCGCCAUGGAAGAGUUUUGUCAACGAGAGCAUAUCCGACUUAAUGUUUCCUCAGUGGCUCAUCCUCAAUCCAAUGGUCAAGCUGAGAGAGCUAAUCAGGAGAUUCUGAAGGGCAUCAAGCCCCGGCUUUUGGUCCCUUUGCAGCGAACACCGGGUUGUUGGGUGGAGGAGUUGCCCUCCGUCUUAUGGAGUAUCAACACUACUCCUAACAGGUCUACAGGCUUCACGCCUUUCUUCAUGGUUUAUGGAGCAGAAGCAGUCCUUCCUAGUGACAUCCGUCACGACUCACCUCGCGUGGCGGCUUACGUUGAGACGGAUAAUGAACAGGCGCGUCAAGAUGCUCUUGACCUGUUGGACGAACAGCGUGAUGUGGCAGCAGCCCGUUCAGCGAUUUACCAACAAGACCUGCGCCGUUAUCAUAGCCGCCGGGUCAAAUCCCGGGUCUUCCAGGAAGGCGACCUUGUGCUCCGGCUCAUCCAGGAUCAAACAGAUGCACACAAGUUAUCCCCACCUUGGGAAGGGCCCUUUGUGGUCAGCAAGAACUUGCACAACGGGUCAUAUUACCUCAUUGACAUUCAGGAGCACAAAGAUUCACGUAAGUCGGAGGAAGAGACCCGUCGGCCGUGGAACAUAGCUCAGCUUCGGCCUUACUACACUUGAGCCACCGGCUCUCGUGGUGUACAUAUUUCUCUCAGCCAUGUAUAUAUUAUGAUAAGCAAUAAAGCAGGACCUCUGUCCUUUUUUCUCCCCCAAAUAUGCACGUGUUGUUUACAUGACGACUUAAAGGAGGAUCCGGCUUAUGAUCGUAUUCGAAUCUAGCCGUAAGCGGUAAAGUCACUUGGGGGCUUCCUGUUCAAACAUGGGUCGAAUUCGAACCAAAGAGAACAUAGCUGUCGAUACCCAUUUGAUUGGCAAAGCGCCGAGCUCAUUGGGAGGUUAACUUUGGUCAUAUUUGAAUCAUGGUUUACCCCCUCUAAGAACCGACGUGGAUCGUAUUCGAAUCAGCGUCGUUAAACAAUUCUAAAAGUCACUUGGGGGCUUCCUGUUCAAACAUGGGUCGUAUUCGAACCAAAGAGAACAUAGCUGUCGGUACUCUCUUGAUUGGCAUCGCCACACCCACUGGGGGCUAUAUGAUCGUAUCCGAAUCUUGGCUUAACCCCUUUGGGCCGGGUCUCUGGUCGUAUUCGAACCGGAAGCCCCUAAAGUUCCUCUGCUUUAUCACAAGUUUACUCUGAUUAUGUCAAGGUGUGUACGGCCGGGUCUCACUUUACCGGCUUAACUUUGGUUUACAGUGUUCGUUGAACGCCAUGGGUGUCAUUACGACAGGUAAAUCGGAGUUAAGAUACCAACCUUGUUACCCGGGUUAUCUAAACCGGAAGUAUGCUUACAUGCCGCUAAGUGUAUUAUUACGGCUGUGUUAAGGAUAUAAUUGAGGACCAGUCUUUUUUGAUUCAUAUUCCGGGUUAUCUAUCCAAAACACCUGAUUCUCAGGGCGGUAAGCUGCCUUGAGACUUGUGAUUCGCCUUUCUAUGCAGGUUAUUUAAAGGCACCUCUUUGAGGUUGAGAAAAACAAAGGGAUGGUUAUAACCCGGAGAAAUAUCAAAGAGACAACUUCAAAGGACUUUCGCAUUCAAUACGUGCAUGAUGGCACGGCAAAAAUGAACUGUUGCACCUAUUCUAUUACAAAAACUCAUCAAGUCUAAGACGGGUGGAACAUUGUUUGGUAGACCGCCAGCCGAGUCACGAUGCCCGCUGAGUUGAAGUCUCCAGCUCGUUCCUGUCUUCUCCUCCGGCUGAUCCCAACACCUGGAAGGUUGAUGUGAUGACUUCCAGUCGAUGCCGCUGAGAGCUUCGAAUUGGGCUUCCUCGUCAAUUAACCCGGCCGGGUCAAUCUCCGGGGCGAAGGUGUGCUGACGAGCCGGAGGGAUCAGGUUGAGGGCUUCAUAGCGAGGGGUUGGAAUCCUCUGAUUCUCCGCAUCAUAACCCGGCUGGUACUUGGUCAGAUCCGUGUCGUUCCCGAUAAGGGUGGCCACUGGGCGAACAGCCUUCACGCACGCUGCAAAGUCCGUCUGGUCGAAAGCUGAGCCGUCCUCCUUCAGACUUGGAUAGCCAAGGGCGAUGUCCGCCGGGUCUAACUCCGGCAGGAAAGCCUUGGCCCGGCUCAGCGCGGCGAUCGCUCCGGCUCUCGCAGAGGCCCGUCGCAGCUCUUGGAUCCGCUGAGGCAGAACGGCGAGCCGGCGCAGGACUUCUGCCAGGUGAGUCGGCACCUCGUUGGAUAGGGCCACCACAGCUAAGGCGCGCUGUGACCCGGUGUAGAGCUGCUCCACCAGGGUGUACACGGCCUUUAGCUUGGUGACCACGCUCUGGUUGAGGUUGGCACUUCUGGGACCUGUUUAACAGAAUCAGAUAAGCUGGCGACAAGGAUGAAUCAGGAGAUGUAAACAUUCUAACAUGGAUGAAAGCCGGUGAGGCGACUUACCGAAGAUGGCGGCCACCAUUUGGGAAACCUGGCGCUUUAGGCCGGAGAGCUCGGCGGUCUUCUCAGAGAGAGCCUUCUCCGCCUGUUCCGCCCGGGUCACCAGUGCGGCCUUCUCUUCAGCCCAGGCUUUUCUCUCAGCAUCAAACUCGGUCUUUAACUUUUCUUGCGUGGCAAUGCUGGAUACAAACUUGGCAUUUGCCUUCCGGGUCUCCAUCUCCUGCAUCUUCAGCCGGCUCUUGAGAUCCGCAAGGUCCGCCUCUAGCUUCUUGCCCACAGCCUGUAUAAAUUUCCGGGUUAUGACAUGAGCAGUUACUAUAUAAGUCCCAAGCACUUUCCAAGCAAAGACACUUGGCACUUGGGGGCUAAUGCAUAUUGAACGUAUCUAUCUACAUACUGCCGGCUCAAUUGAGUAAGCCGGAACCUAAGUCUACAACAUAUUCAAGUCAUAAGUCGUCGACUUGGGGGCUAGCAUGGCAAAGGUAACUAUGCAGUAAGUAAGAAGAUAGCAGAAGGAUACCUCAGAUUUUUGUUGGAUCUGGUUUACCAUGGCGACCUCGGCGUCCUGGCUCUUGUGUACUUGGCUGAUGUAGCCAGAGACGAGCUCUCCAAUGCUCAGGUUGCUGUAGUUGGAGAGGUCCAGAUUCGCCCGAUGGGGCUGCAGCAACUCCCCCUUAGCGGAGCACUUGGCCAACACGGUCGAUCUCCCCGGCUCAACAAACUCCGUCCGGGUCAUCUGCUGGUGGAGCUGAGCCGGAGGCCUCCGGGUUAACCGAAGCUUCGAUCAUUGCCUUGGUAGUUGGGGCAGUGGCUUCAGGUGCUGUGUCCAUUGGAGUGGUAGCUUCGGGGGCGGAGGCAGCUGGUGGUUCUUGAACCGUCACAUCUGGCUCAGGCAAAUCCGGCACUCCGGCUGAUCUGGUCUUCUUUGCUCUUUUGGUGAGUUUUGCCUGGGCACUGAAAAGACAGAAGCGUUAAGCACACAAAGAGUAAGUACAGACAAAGAUAAUGUAAGAUGGUUGUCAUUACCCGGGCGCGGUCUUGAAAGUCGGAAGACUCGACUGCAUAGAGUCGCCCGAAGAAGGGGAGGUCUCCUGAUAAUUGGAGUCAGAAGAAUUGAGUGGCUGACGGAUAACACCCGCCAACGGGUGAAAAGGGUACAAGUGAGAAAAAACCUCAGUUCGACGCUUCCUUGUUGCGUCGGGUAACCCGGCGGAGAGAUCGGUGUCCUUGUUGGUCCGGGUGUGACGCCGGCUUUCAUGAACCUGUCGCUUCAAAAUAAAUUGAGGGUCUUGGUAAGCUAAAGGAUGUGAAAAGCUUACUUUCUGGGUUACCCUUCGGACUUUCAGCUGUGGCAAGGGCUCCGAGUCGGAGGAAAGUGACAUUACCUCUUCAACCACCGGGUUACUGGCGCCGGUGUCAUCCUGUCAAUGAGCAAGUGUUGAUAAGGAAAACAGCAACAAAUAACAAGUACAACAAGAAUUUAAAGGCUUGGGGGUUACCUCUGACUCGGAGCUGUCGCUUAAUUGCAUCAGCUCCGAAGCAGUAGGCCUGCUUCCUUUUUUGCGAGGGGCGGCUUUCUUGGCGGCUUUCUUCGCCUUUCUGGCCUUCUUGGCCGCCUCAUGGUCAUAUUUGACCCGCCAGAACUUAUCAUCAGCCUGAAAAAUACAAUGAUGAAUUCUCAAAACGGUUCAGAUGCAGGUUAUAUACAGAAGGAGAUAAAACAUUAAAGUCAGCGGCUUACCGCUGGGGCUGGGUUGGUCUUGCAGAAGGGGGCUAACCCGGUCCUUCCGCAGUCUGCCAGGCUCUCGUUUAAAAGAGCCUUGGUCAUCUCCUCUGCAACGUCUUCUGGAAGAUCAUUGCGGCUGUGCCUCUGAGGGUCAUCCUUUCGUCCGGUGUACUCACACAUUAAGCCGGGGCGGCGGCUCAAUGGGAUCACCCGCCAUGAGAUCCAGACCCGGACCAGGUCGAUUCCGUUCAGACCAUUACCCAGGAGAGCUUUGAUUUUGUUGAUCGUGGGGAGCAGAGGCCGGCGCUCCGCUUGAGUCAGCUUGUCCGACAGUGGGUGAGUCGGCUCCAGACGUGUUGGGCGAAAGCUGGACAGCGGGCUUUCGUCAACCGGGGAUGUAUCUUGGCAGUAGAACCAAGUCAUGUUCCAAUCCUUUGGGUGGCUCGGCGGCUCUGCGUAAGGGAAAAGACAGUCCCUACGCCGCUGGAUGGAGAUGCCACCUAACUCCAGACUUGGCCCAUUGGCACACUCAUUCUGAUGGUUUAAGUAAAACAGCUCUCUGAAGAGCAGCAGACUCGGCUCUUCUCCAAGGUAAACCUCGCAGAAGACUUGGAAAUUGCAGAUGUUGGACACUGAGUUGGGUCCUAUGUCUUGGGGCCGCAAGUCGAAGAAAUUGAGCACGUCCCUAAAAAACUUUGAGCCGGGCGGUGCAAAGCCCCGGCUCAUGUGAUCUGCAAAAAUCACUACCUCCCCAUCCUUUGGCUGUGGCCUUUCUUCUGACGAGUCAGGGGCACGGUAGGACAUGAUGUCUUUCUUGGGCAGAUAUCCUGACUUAACAAAAUCAGCUAGGGUCUCGUUGGUCACGUUGGACCUCAUCCAGUUGCAAGUGAUGGGAGCCUUGGGAGGCAUGGUGAAAGUUGGUAGUCUAUGACAAAAAGGAAAAUGUCCGGGUUAAUUAUAAGCCGGAGAUCUACAGUUCCAAACUAAGGUGGCGGCUUAUGAAGGGGACUAAUGAUAUAUACUCAGGUACAGUGGGUUACUUAUGCCGCAGGGGCAUUUAGAAUAAGUUGAUGAUCUACGGCCUUAUCACAGUUAAGCCGGAGGAAUCUACGAAGCAUGGUUUUCUUUAAACCGGAGGAUUCUACAGCGCGUGGUUUCUUUAAACCGGAAUUAUAAGCCGCCAAGAUUCAAUGGUUGCAGUUUUUACUAAGUGUGGUAAAACAGGUUUCACAUACUGCAGUAACUUUUUUGGAUCAAAAUGGUCGGUCCAAAGAAAAUUUUCUAGACCUAAAAUACGGGCACAGGGGAUGUUCUUGAGCUCGAACGAAGCAUUCAUGCAGUAGAAGAUCUACGGGCAUUUGAAAUGAGUCCUAAACAACUGCCGCACUAGUUCUAUACAAGGCUAAAGAUCAAACAAGGGCAGUGACUAGGAGAACUACCGAAGCUUGUGGCAAUGGCGAAGAACACGGACGAACCCUAUGGUAGAUCUAUCCUACAGGACAAGCAAGAUUUACCGGAGCUGGAGAGCCGCGGAGGUUGUCACGUUUCUCUGGUCCGUUCAGGGUGAUGCAGCGGCCUGAGCUGGUGACGACGAGGAGACCCGCGGCGGCGACGGCGGCGGAGCUCGAGCAGCACGGGAUAGUGAGAGGAGGAAGAUGACAGAGAAGGGAGCGUGAGGAGAGCCCGUCGGGCCAGUGGGCGCGAGAUUCAAGGAGACCACGGCGUGGUUAUCUCCCCACGGAACGCCUCGAUUUUCGGGAUGACAGUAAAGAGAAAGAUCCGUUGCGGAUCUGGCGGAGUAAAAAACGGACUUAAUGGAGGAUGACGUCACGACGGAUUAUCCGGAGUCCAGAGGAUGACGUCACGCCGGGUUAUGGCCUUCACAUGAAUGGUAAGCCGGAGAUUUUUCUUUCAGAAGGGUUGAAGAUUGACAUGAGCCGGCUCAAAUCAAUCUGGGGCCUAAUGUUGAGGAUAUAGACCUUAGAGUCACCCGCCAGGAGGGGCCGGGUUACUCGUAUGGUCAUUGCCAGAAGCCUGGAGCCAAGCUUGAAGACGAUGGGCCAGAGAUGGGCUAAGACCCGGAUAUGGCUUAAAGCCCGUAAUUACAAUCAUUGUUAUGAUAGAACAUGUAGUGUAAGGCAAGAAUAGUUGAGAGUCCGAGCCGGACACUCUUAUGAGCCGGCCGGGACUCUGAGAGCUGCAGGGCGUCGGCCUCCUUAUAUAAAGGGACGACCCAGCAACGGUUUAGGGGCAACAACAAUCUCAUCGAGAGCCGGGCAUAGCUGUUUAACUCCCUGGUGAUCGUAACCCUAAUCAAUACCACCUAAAACUGGACGUAGGCUUUUACCUUCACCAUAAGGGGCCGAACCAGUAUAAACCCUCGUGCUCCUUGUCCCGCAUUAACCCCUUCAAGCUUCCUAGUUGCGAUGGCUCCACGAUUAAGUCCUAGCUCGAGGACAUCUGCCGUGACAAUUCCACGACAGUUACAGAAUGAGUAAAGUGACUUGCCGGUAACGAGAUUGAACGAGGUAUUGGGAUUCCGAUGAUCGAAUCUCAGGCAAGUAACAUACCGAUAGACAAAGGGAAUUGUAUACGGGAUUGAUUGAAUCCCCGACAUCGUGGUUCAUCCGAUGAGAUCAUCGUGGAACAUGUGGGAGCCAAUAUGGGUCUCCAGAUUCCGCUAUUGGUUAUUGGCCGGAGAGGUGUCUCGGUCAUGUCUGCAUGGUUCCCGAACCCGUAGGGUCUACACACUUAAGGUUCGGUGACGCUAGAGUUGUUAUGGGAAAUAGUAUGUGGUUACCGAAGGUUGUUCGGAGUCCCGGAUGAGAUCCCGGACAUCAUGAGGAGUUCCGGAAUGGACCGGCGGUGAAGAUCGAUAUAUUGGACGAAGGGUAUUGGAGUCCGUAAGUGUUCCGGGGGUACCAGGCUAUGGCCAGCAUGACCGAAAGGUGUUUCGGGAGCCCCGGCAAGUGUUGCAGGGCCUCAUGGGCCAAAGGGUAAGGGGCAAACCAGCCCACUAAGGGGUGGUGCGCCCCCCACACCCUUUCCCACAUUACUUGGGGAGGUGGGGCGCCUCCACCUGGCUUGGGAGGCAAGCCUCCACCUGCUUGGCUUGGGGGGCAAGUCUCCCUAGGAUUUUCCCUAGGGAGAUCCAAUCUGCUUGGCUGCCGCCCCCUAGGGGAAACCCUAGGGCGCCUCCCCUCCGCCCUUGCCCCUAUAUAUAGUGGAGGGGUGGGAGGGCAGUUGCACCUCUUCCCUGGCGUAGCCCUCCCUCCUCAUACACCUCCUCCUUCUCCUCCGUAGUGCUUAGCGAAGCUCUGCCGGAGAACCACGAGCUCCAUCCCCACCACGCCGUCGUGCUACUGGAGUUCUCCCUCAACUUCUCCUCUCCCCUUGCUGGAUCAAGAAGGAGGAGACGUCCCCGGGCUGUACGUGUGUUGAACGCGGAGGCGCCGUCCGUUCGGCGCUAGAUCGGAUCUUCCGCGAUUUUAAUCGCCGCGAGUACGACUCCAUCAACCGCGUUCUUGUAACACUUCCGCCUAGCGAUCUUCAAGGGUAUGAAGAUGCACUCCCUCUCUCUCGUUGCUAGCAUCUCCUAGAUUGGUCUUGGUGACACGUAGGAAAAUUUUGAAUUAUUGCUACGUUCCCCAACACUAACCUAGGUGAAAUAGAUCGUUUAUGAGCUAACUUAGGUAUAAUGCAUCAUUCAUUUUAGAGCUAACCUAGGUAAGAUGGGUCAUUUUGGAGCUAACCUAGGUGAAAUGGAUCGUUUUUUAGCUAACUUAGGUGAAAUGGAUCGUUUAUGAGCUAACCUAGGUGAAAUAGAUCGUUUAUGAGCUAACUUUGGUAAAAUGCAUCAUUUUAGAGCUAACCUAGGUGUGAUGGGUCAUUUUGGAGCUAAACUAGGUAAAAUGGAUCGUUUGUGAGCUAACCUAGGUGAAAUGGAUCGUUUAUGAGCUAAUCUAGGUGAAAUGGGUCAUUUUAGAGCUAACUUGGGUAAAAUGCAUCAUUUUGGAGCUAACCUAGGUAAGAUGGGUCAUUUUGGAGCUAACAUAGGUAAAAUGGGUCAUUUUAGAGCUAACAGAGGUAAAACGGAUCAUUUUGGAGUUACUCUAGGUAAAAUGGAUCAUAGCAAGCUAGAAGAAUACUAGAGCUAACAUAGGUAAAAUGGAUCCUUUUGGAGUUAGUCUAGGUAAAAUGGAUCAUAGCAAGCUAGAAGAAUACUAGAGGAGAAUGAAAGAAAAAACAAGCACUCCAUCAUAGCAAGCUAGCUUCCGUGAAGUGAAUGAAAUCUGCAAAAAGGCAAAUAAGAAAGUUAGAAAAAGGUGACUAGAAG
rnacentral:lncRNA from 1 species